UGAGGAAUAUUGGUCAAUGGACGAGAGUCUGAACCAGCCAAGUAGCGUGCAGGAUGACGGCCCUAUGGGUUGUAAACUGCUUUUGUUUGGGAAUAAUCGACAUUACGUGUAAUGUUUUGCAUGUACCAUUCGAAUAAGGACCGGCUAAUUCCGUGCCAGCAGCCGCGGUAAUACGGAAGGUUCGGGCGUUAUCCGGAUUUAUUGGGUUUAAAGGGAGCGUAGGCCGUUUGGUAAGCGUGUUGUGAAAUGUAGUAGCUCAACUUCUAGAUUGCAGCGCGAACUGUCAGACUUGAGUGCGCACAACGUAGGCGGAAUUCAUGGUGUAGCGGUGAAAUGCUUAGAUAUCAUGAAGAACUCCGAUUGCGAAGGCAGCUUACGGGAGCGCAACUGACGCUGAAGCUCGAAGGUGCGGGUAUCGAACAGG
rnacentral:rRNA from 1 species